rnacentral:misc_RNA from 1 species
GAUGAAGAACGUAGCGAAAUGCGAUAAGUAAUGUGAAUUGCAGAAUUCAGUGAAUCAUCGAAUCUUUGAACGCAUCUUGCGCUCCUUGGUAUUCUGAGGAGCAUGCCUGUUUGAGUGUCAUUAAAUUCUCAACUACACUGACUUUGAAUUGGUGUGGCUUGGAUUUGGGGGGGAAAAUUGUUGUGGGCUUUUUGUAUAGUCUGCUCCCCUGAAAUUGAUUAGCGGUACCUUUGUGGAACUGUCUACAGGUGUGAUAAUUAUCUACAUCCUAGACAUCUGCUGGAAUGCUGCUUUCUAAACCUUACUUGUAUUGACAAUCUUGACCUCAAAUCAGGUAGGACUACCCGCUGAACUUAAGCAUAUAAUAAGCGGAGGA